AAAAAAUAGCUUGUUUUUAAGAUAAAGUACACAAACGACCCCAAUUUUUCUAAAAUUUUUCAGGCCUUUUGUACUCAGUACACUGAACCUUAAUUUUCGAUAAAAAAACAGUAAUAGUUUAAGCUUCACAUUGAGGUGAAAUUUUUUGAUUUUUCAACCCUUUUGUGCAUGAAGAGAGAAGAUCAGAAAUAAGAUGGUUGUGCAUUUAUUAUAAUUAUUGAUUAUAACAUUUAUUAUGAUCAAUCAUUUUUCUUAUUUUUUAUUUAAAUCUCAGCCAUAAAAAGUUAUUGUGAAAGGCAUUCGAAUUGAUGUUUACAAUGACAAUGUGUUGGCAAUACCUUGAGAGCCCAGAAUAUAAGAACAACAGUUUCAUCCUUUGCCGAGGACACAGUAACAUUAUUGUUAGAAGUCAAGGAAGCAAGUGGUAUGUGAGCUAUGAUGAAAUUUCUAAAGAAGAAGGAGAGAAAGGUUAUCCACCAUUUUGUGAUGGCUGGAAUUAUAUUACGACUCCUGGCACUGCUGCAAGGUGGGAUUCAAUGGAAAGGGACUGUA